UGCGCUAUGAGGAUAAAAAUUAUAACCGUGAUAACCACUGACGACGUUAUACGCUAUUCUGAGCCAUGG